UGGGAUUAUAGAUGAAAUACUGGAUCAUA
rnacentral:piRNA from 1 species